rnacentral:tRNA from 1 species
GUGCGUGUAGCUCAGUGGUAGAGCACGUGCUUAGCAUGCAUGAGGUCCUUGGUUCAAUUCCCAGUACCUCCA